GACGAACGCUGGCGGCGUGCCUAAUACAUGCAAGUCGAACGCAUUUUCUUUCACCGUAGCUUGCUACACCGAAAGAAAAUGAGUGGCGAACGGGUGAUUAACACGUGUGUAACCUGCCCAUCAGCGGGGGAUAACACUUGGAAACAGGUGCUAAUACCGCAUAAUUCCAUUUACCGCAUGGUAGAUGGAUGAAAGGCGCUUUUGCGUCACUGAUGGAUGGACCCGCGGUGCAUUAGCUAGUUGGUGGGGUAACGGCCUACCAAGGCUGCGAUGCAUAGCCGAACUGAGAGGGUGGUCGGCCACACUGGGACUGAGACAAGGCCCAGAGUCCUACGGGAGGCAGCAGUAGGGAAUCUUCGGCAAUGGACACAAGUCUGACCGAGAAACGCCGCGUGAGUGAAGAAGGUUGUCGGAUCGUAAAACUCUGUUGUUAGAGAAGAACAAGGAUGAGAGUGGAAAGUUCAUCCCUUGACGGUAGCUAACCAGAAAGCAACGGCUAACUACGUG
rnacentral:rRNA from 1 species